rnacentral:rRNA from 1 species
UACGGAGGGGGUUAGCGUUGUUCGGAAUUACUGGGCGUAAAGCGCGCGUAGGCGGAUUAGAAAGUUGGGGGUGAAAUCCCGGGGCUCAACCUCGGAACUGCCUCCAAAACUGCUAGUCUAGAGUUCGAGAGAGGUGAGUGGAAUUCCGAGUGUAGAGGUGAAAUUCGUAGAUAUUCGGAGGAACACCAGUGGCGAAGGCGGCUCACUGGCUCGAUACUGACGCUGAGGUGCGAAAGUGUGGGGAGCAAACGGG